rnacentral:rRNA from 1 species
UCCAGAGAUGGAUUUGUGCCUUCGGGAACUGUGAGACAGGUGCUGCAUGGCUGUCGUCAGCUCGUGUUGUGAAAUGUUGGGUUAAGUCCCGCAACGAGCGCAACCCUUAUCCUUUGUUGCCAGCGGUCCGGCCGGGAACUCAAAGGAGACUGCCAGUGAUAAACUGGAGGAAGGUGGGGAUGACGUCAAGUCAUCAUGGCCCUUACGACCAGGGCUACACACGUGCUACAAUGGCGCAUACAAAGAGAAGCGACCUCGCGAGAGCAAGCGGACCUCAUAAAGUGCGUCGUAGUCCGGAUUGGAGUCUGCAACUCGACUCCAUGAAGUCGGAAUCGCUAGUAAUCGUGGAUCAGAAUGCCACGGUGAAUACGUUCCCGGGCCUUGUACACACCGCCCGUCACACCAUGGGAGUGGGUUGCAAAAGAAGUAGGUAGCUUAACCUUCGGGAGGGCGCUUACCACUUUGUGAUUCAUGACUGGGGUGAAGUCGUAACAAGGUAACCGUAGGGGAACCUGCGGUUGGAUCACCUCCUUACCUUAAAGAA